ACUUAUGAUAUGUCUGUGUUUCUUUGAUGUUGACUUAUGAUAUGUCUGUGUUUCUUUGAUGUUGACAUGAUAUGUGUGUGUUUCUUUGAUGGUGACUUAUGAUAUGUCUGUGUUUCUUUGAUGUUGACUUAUGAUAUGUCUGUGUUUCUUUGAUGCUACAUCAUACAACAAGUUCAUUUAUACUUGCACAGUAGUGAGCUGCAGGUGACUGAGCUCAGUGCAUCUCAUAAAAAGACCGAGACAGGUGUUGUGCUACCUCUCCAGGAUCAAUUUCUCCAAGGUGUUUUGACAUUUAAGUGAAAACAAUAAAGUAUAAGGUUGUGGGGUAGAAGUUCUCUACAAAGAAUAUGCAGGGGGCUUAUCUUCUUGUAGGAAACAUUUCUUUUUUUUUUUUUUUGCAGUGGCUCAAAAAUUUACUUGAUUAAGUAUCUGUGUUAUGAGAAAAUGUAAAUUCAAGCUACCAUUUACAAAUUCUGACUAUUAUGAUGUGAGGUUGGGUUAGCUGAGCAUAGGUAAUGGGGAGCAUGGGUAAUGGUGAGCAUGGGUAAUGGUGAGCAUAGGUAAUGGAUCUGUAAGGGUUAAAUGAGGAGUCAUCCAUAGGCUCUGACAUGUGGUGCUUUUGAGUAUCUCUUUUCUCCCCCUUAUGACAGUUGGAAAUCUGGCAUUCUCAAUAAUUAGAAUUUUCAACAUCUUAAGAAGACAUUUUACCACUGAGAAGAAAUGCAGCCUGGCAUUGCCCCACCGUGCACUUAAUGCAUUUAACAUAAUUGUAAGGCAUAUAAGGAUAUGUCGUAUUAUGUAACUACAUACAAUUUAUCAUGGUUCAUAGGGUUCUGUUGGGGCUUUUUGCUUAUCUGAUAAAUAGUAUUCUCUGUACUGUUUCAUUUCAGUACCAUAUUCCAUCUCAUUUUUUACUUUUUUGAGAUUGAACAAUCAUUUCUGGAAAUGAAUUUGUUUCUGAUUUGUACUAGUCUGAUGCAUUAAUAUGGCUGUUACAUGUAAUCUGUUAUCCUUUCAUGCACUUUACUAUAUAAUUCAUUUUGUAUGGACAGUUAAAAUUUAAUAUUCCUUGUAUUUACCAUCCUUAUCACAACUUAGGCGUAUGGUUAUAUCAUGCAGGAUAAAGAGUUUAUUCCAAUCUGAAGUACAAAGUUAUUACAUAAUGGAAUAUAAUUAUGUAAAUGCAUAUUUGUAAUCCUGAUUCUGCUGUGUGCCAUAUACAGUGUUCAGCUAAGGACCAAAGGAAGACAUUUACUCAGAUAUGUUUCCUUCUGCUUCCUUCACGCUCGUUUUUUUUUUACUUCCAAAAGUAUUAUCAACUAUUUAAAUGUGUAAAAUAAGCUUAGUAUACACUGUUUUGAAAGAAAAUCCAUCUAUUUUUCUUGAAGACAUUUUAUCUUUGUAUUUAUCAGCACAAUGUAAAUACUACAGAGUAAAUGCACCAUCCAGCUGUACAGUAUAUCACUGGUAAAUAAACAAUCUGCAUGAAUAUCCA